CAAUAGCGUAUAUUAAAGUUGUUGCAGUUAAAAAGCUCGUAGUUGGAUUUCUGGACGGAGCAGCCGGUCCGCCGCUGUGCGGUGUGUACUCGUGCUUGACUCGGUUCAUCCUUGUGGGGAAGCGCAUUUCGGCAUUCAGUUGUCGAGGCGGGGAACCACAUCAUUUACUGUGAAAAAAUUAGAGUGUUUAAAGCAGGCAUUUUGCUGUGAAUACAUUAGCAUGGAAUAAUAACAUAGGACUUUGAUUCUAUUUUGUUGGUUGGAGAUCAAGGUAAUGAUUAAUAGGGAUAGUUGGGGGUAUUCAUAUUUAAUUGUCAGAGGUGAAAUUCUUGGAUUUAUGGAAGAUGAACUCAUGCGAAAGCAUUUACCAAGGAUGUUUUCAUUAA
rnacentral:rRNA from 1 species